GAUGAACGCUAGCGGCAGGCUUAAUACAUGCAAGUCGAGGGGCAGCACGAAUAGCAAUAUUUGGUGGCGACCGGCGCACGGGUGCGUAACACGUAUACAACCUACCUAUAACAGGGGGAUAGCCUUUCGAAAGAGAGAUUAAUACCCCGUAAUAAAUUGAAUGGCAUCAUUUGAUUUUGAAAGCUACGGCGGUUAUAGAUGGGUAUGCGUUUGAUUAGCUAGUUGGUGAGGUAACGGCCCACCAAGGCGACGAUCAGUAGCCGGCCUGAGAGGGUGAUCGGCCACACUGGAACUGAGACACGGUCCAGACUCCUACGGGAGGCAGCAGUGGGGAAUUUUGCGCAAUGGACGAAAGUCUGACGCAGCAACGCCGCGUGGUGAUGAAGGUCUUCGGAUUGUAAAACCCUGUCGCCAGGGACGAAGGUGGGGCGUGAAUAGCGUUCUACUUUGACGGUACCUGGAAAGGAAGCCCCGGCUAACUCUGUGCCAGCAGCCGC
rnacentral:rRNA from 1 species